rnacentral:misc_RNA from 1 species
GAUGAAGAACGUAGCGAAAUGCGAUAAGUAAUGUGAAUUGCAGAAUUCCGUGAAUCAUCGAAUCUUUGAACGCAUAUUGCGCCCUCUGGUAUUCCGGAGGGCAUGCCUGUCCGAGCGUCAUUACUAUCUUCAAGCACGGCUUGGUUGUUGAGCCAAUUGUCCUUUUAAUGGACAGGCUUAAAAUCCAGUGGCGAUGCGGAGUCCUGGUGCCCGAGCGUAUGGAGCUCUGUCACACGCUUUAGUGGUCCGCCCGCAUUUUUCGUGAAUAAACCCUUAAGAAAACCUAAGAUUUGACCUCGGAUCAGGUAAGGAUACCCGCUGAACUUAAGCAUAUCAAUAAGCGGAGGA